rnacentral:snRNA from 1 species
UUAACAAAGCAUCAUCAAUCAUUUGUUGGACUUGAUGAAGUGAUAAAUCCGUUUUUAAAGCAUUCCUUAUCAUUUGGUAAGCCUGUUGACUGUGUAACAAUACAUGAUAUUUUUCUUCACGCCAAAGCUGUUCGAUAUAGCCAC